CCUAUUUUGUCUAAGAUUAGCCAUGCAUGUGUAAGUAUAAAUAGUUAACUUUGAAACUGCGAAUGGGUCAUUAUAUCAGUUAUAGUUUAUUUGAUGAAGAAUACUAAUUGGAUAACCGUAGUAAUUCUAGAGCUAAUACAUGUAUAAAGUCUUGUACACUGCAUUUAUUAGAAUGAAAACCAUAGGUUUCGGCCUAUUCGUGAGUAAUAAUAACUAAUCAUAUCGUAUGCUUAUGUAACGAUGUGUCUUUCAAGUUUCUGCCCUAUCAGCUUUCUAUGGUAGUGUAUUGGACUACCAUGGUAGUAACGGCUAACAAAGAAUUUGGGGUCGAUUUCGGAGAAGGAGCCUGAUAGAUGGCUACCACCUCCUAGGAAGGCAGCAGGCGCGUAAAUUACCCAAUCCUGACACAGGGAGGUAGUGACAAUAAAUCACAAUGCGGAACAAUGUUUUGCAAUUGGAUUGAAAACAACGUACAAACCUUAUCGAUAAACAAUUGGAUGGCAAGUCUGGUGCCAGCAGCCGCGGCAAUUCCAUUUCCAAUACCGUAUAUUAUCGUUGUUGCAGUUAAAAAGCUCACCUCA
rnacentral:rRNA from 1 species